AUGGGCCACCAUUGUUUACAAAGACUUUGUGAAGGCAAAGCUCCAAAAUCCAACUAUACCAUCAAUGGGUAUGGCUAUACCCUGUGGUACUACCUUGCCGUUGGCAUCUAUCCUCGGUAUGCGACGUUUGUCCACACCAUCUCCCGGUCAAUAGUAACAUUAUCUUCGGAUUAUUUCAACGGCAAGUGCCAAUAUUGA
rnacentral:rRNA from 1 species